GGCGUUUUAGCUCAGUCGGUAGAGCGUGCGGAGAACCGCAAGACGUUGGUUUGACCCCAACAAACGCCA
rnacentral:tRNA from 1 species